UACGGAGGAUCCAAGCGUUAUCCGGAUUUAUUGGGUUUAAAGGGUGCGUAGGCGGCCCAUUAAGUCAGGGGUGAAAUACGGCAGCUCAACUGUCGCAGUGCCUUUGAUACUGAUGGGCUUGAAUGCGGAUGAGGUAGGCGGAAUGAGACAAGUAGCGGUGAAAUGCAUAGAUAUGUCUCAGAACUCCGAUUGCGAAGGCAGCUUACUAAGUCGUGAUUGACGCUGAUGCACGAAAGCGUGGGGAUCAAACAGGAUUAGAUACCCUGGUAGUCCACGCCCUAAACGAUGAUAACUCGAUGUCGGCGAUAUACCGUCGGUGUCUUAGCGAAAGCGUUAAGUUAUCCACCUGGGGAGUACGCCCGCAAGGGUGAA
rnacentral:rRNA from 2 species